rnacentral:rRNA from 1 species
CAGUCGCCGCGGGAAUACGAAGGGUGCAAGCGUUACUCGGAAUUACUGGGCGUAAAGCGUGCGUAGGUGGUGGUUUAAGUCCGUUGUGAAAGCCCUGGGCUCAACCUGGGAAUUGCAGUGGAUACUGGGUCACUAGAGUGUGGUAGAGGAUAGUGGAAUUUCCGGUGUAGCAGUGAAAUGCGUAGAGAUCGGAAGGAACAUCUGUGGCGAAGGCGACUAUCUGGGCCAACACUGACACUGAGGCACGAAAGCGUGGGGAGCAAACAGGAUUAGAUACCCGGGUAGUCCUUGUCUCUUAUAA